rnacentral:lncRNA from 1 species
CAACAUAUUUCUAAAAGGAAUUGUGUGAUAACCCAGUUCUUGACCCAGUUCCUGUUAUCCACCACCCAGCAGUGGUGUUUGUCCCUGGGCUGCUGGUUGCCUCUGAUGGCUCAUUUAGCCUCAGGGAAAGGUGGAAGAAAAUGAAAACAUCCCAGAGGGAGAGUUAGGCCUCCCAAGAGCGAGUGGCUGCCCCCCUCCAGCUCACAGGAAACAUUUACCAGAUGUGUGGCUUGAGUGUCCAUUCCCGCAACAAAAACGCUCUGCAGUAAAGCUCCGAGAUGGCUGUGUUUGUGUUGGACUGCUCUAGAUGGUAACUUUGAACUGUGUCUUUCUGCUACUGCCUAGCUGCCUCCUUGCUCUCAGGGAAAGAGCUUCAUUUUAUUGCAAACGUAUGAUUAAAGUCAUACAUGGUCAAUAUUCUGAACUUUCUAUCAGUUCUUAGCAUCCCCACGAGGAAGCCUGGCUAAUAAUGGUGUAAACACAGUGAUGGGGCUGUGUGGACUCUGAACUCGCUUCCAGGAAUCUCUGAGCUGGGAGUCUGGUGACAUGAAUUCCAUGUGCCGUGUUUUAUUCAUACCGCCCUGAAGUAAGAGCCAUAGAGUUUAACCCCCUACAGAGUGGCUUGUUUCUAAUUGAUAGGGCUGAUUGCCCAUCAUGAGGGUGGGCCUUUUUUAUUGGACUUAUUAAGAGACAAUAGACUAUGUGCAUGCAGCCCAGAGUGCAUAGAGCAAUUUUGAGCCAGUCACGGACACGGAGAGCGGAGGGGAAGGGAUAAUGGGGCCGUGAGAGGCUCUCCUGCCCUAGGGUACCUCUCUUCCCUGGUAUCAUGCCCUCAUUUCAUGGUUGAGGAGAGGAGGAGGUAAUGGGAUCAGGGAGAGGGUGCACUUGGGAAGAAGAGGGUAUAUUUCUGGGAAGCCUCAUGUAACAUGAAUGUGUGGUGCAGAGGGCCUGGAGGAAAGUCGCAGUGACUUUGGUAUGGGGCAGAGAAGAUCAU